AAAUGAUAAGAUUUUGAUUGUAGACUUUAGGGGUUUCGGUGAUGGACGAACGCUGAAUACAAAAAGUAUUUCAUGAGACAAUAUACACUGAUUUUAACAACAUUCAAUAAACUAAAACAAUAAAUGUGAACCCAAUUAAAAAAGAAAAGUUAGAAUUUUUCUGAUGAGAUUGGUUUAAGAGGAUUGAGAAAGAACCCAACAGCCAAAAUUCGAUGUCAGAAGUUGAAUUUGUUUAGGAAGGCUUUUCGUUUGUGGUUGAUGUUGGGUUUUGUUCGUCCGGAUCUUUGGGUGCGAUGAUCGUGAGGCAAUAUACACUGUGAUUUUGAGAUUUGAGAUUUUGCAUUCAGGAGUUUGGGCUUUGCUUCUCUACUUCUUCUGCGUCCUCUACCACCCAAGAUACAAUAAUUGAUUUGGGGAAAUGGGAACCCUUACGAAAGAAGAAAGUAGUUAUGCGAGUUGGCUAUGUUGGUACCGAUUACAAAGGCUUACAAAUGCAACGAGACGAGCAUUCAUUAUCCAGUUUUCCCCAUGAUUGGAGGCGCAAGUAUUAUAUUAACAUUCGUCUUGGACUGGUUCAGGGCGGCUAAGGAUUUCACUUACUACCUUCAUGACUAGAAAGAAGAGGGUCUAUUCUGUCAAAGUAUGGGAAUUGAAUUAUGAUAAUAACAAUGGUGAUGAUGGGAAGACCAGCUCAUGGAGUUUGGUGCAUGAGUUUGAGAAGAGGGGAAUUGGUUUUAAGUCUAAGUAUGUGGUUGUGAUGGCUUUCCAUCCCACCAAUGGUGAUGUUUUGUUCAUUCUAUUUGACAAUAUUCAUGUUUACCAAUAUGAUAUUAGGGAAGACAAGAUGGAAAAGGUUUAUCAGUUUCUAGAUGAUCCUGGCUAUCAUGCUUUUGGAAUGCGCCUACAACACUUCCCUAUUGUCUAUCCAUUUUGGCCAACUAAAAUUCCUGUCCUCACUUCCUCUCCCAUUGUCUCAGCUCUUGAUGUUUGAAACUUGUCUGUUUUUUUCAAUUAUUUGUGAUAUAUUUAUUUUUGUUCUAAUAACUUAAUUAUGAUACUGUUAGUAUACAUGAAUGUAUGUUUUAUGGUCCGUUUAAUUUAAA